rnacentral:rRNA from 1 species
AUUCCUGUACUUGGUGUUACUGCGAAGGGGGGACGGAGAAGGCUAUGUUGGCCGGGCGACGGUUGUCCCGGUUUAAGCGUGUAGGCUGGUUUUCCAGGCAAAUCCGGAAAAUCAAGGCUGAGGCGUGAUGACGAGGCACUACGGUGCUGAAGCAACAAAUGCCCUGCUUCCAGGAAAAGCCUCUAAGCAUCAGGUAACAUCAAAUCGUACCCCAAACCGACACAGGUGGUCAGGUAGAGAAUACCAAGGCGCUUGAGAGAACUCGGGUGAAGGAACUAGGCAAAAUGGUGCCGUAACUUCGGGAGAAGGCACGCUGAUAUGUAGGUGAAGCGACUUGCUCGUGGAGCUGAAAUCAGUCGAAGAUACCAGCUGGCUGCAACUGUUUAUUAAAAACACAGCACUGUGCAAACACGAAAGUGGACGUAUACGGUGUGACGCCUGCCCGGUGC